UAGCAUCCUAUUGAGCCCACUUGUAGUGCGACACUGAAGACAAGAGGAUGUUCUCCUGUUGUCUCCUGAGUUGUGGAGGCUCCGGCUUCAGGAAAGCCAAGAAAAGGAGACUUUUCAGUCACUAUAGACACUGGCUUGGCCCUCACCUGCACCGCCUCUGUCCAACUGGCAGGAGGAGCACUCAGAGAUGCAUGCAGGAGGCAGUUGAAGAGCUGGCAGAUGGCUUUGGGUACUCCAUCUCCCUGGACCGGGCGCAGCUCCACCCCGCCAACAGUAGUGACCAGGGCUGCUCUGAGGUGCAGAGCUGGAACCCAGGCCUGUUUUGAGGGCUACUCCACACUACAUCCCACCCCUUCUUGUCAUUCAUUCAUCUCUAAGUGUGUGCAUCAGACACAUGGUAACCAGACCACAGGUGUUGUCGCUAUUGUCUGUUCUACACCUGAG
rnacentral:lncRNA from 1 species